UAUUUAUAUUGUAAUAACGUGAUAUUAUAUUGUUCAAACGUUGUCAGGAGUUUAUUUUGAAUAAGACAUUCUUCAGGCUGAAUAAAGACACUCAGACAGUUAGAAUAUAAUAACAGCGACAUGCACGGGUGAGAACUCUGGCGAGACACACCCUGAGUGCAGGGUCCUACUGUCCCUCUUCAAAUGACACUCACUUCCUCUUUUUAAAUACAAACAAUUCACAUACGCGGCAGUGUAAUCCUAUUUUAAUUGACACCUUCCUUUUCCCAUUUACUCCCGGAGUAAAUUUUGUCGACUACCAGCUUUUAUUAUUGCGAAACGAGUCUCUUCUGGACUGCCAGUUUCGUCUUACAAGCGAGUCCUUUUUUAAACUGCCAGUCCCUACAGGACGAGUUUCUUCCUUAGAAAAGUGUCAAUCUAAAAGACGAUUAUUCGCGAUGUGUCUUUGAGUGUUAAUAUUCACCUGGUUAUGAUGAUAUAAGUGCCGGUCAGAGAUUCCUCCUCGUUCCCCAGGAUCGUGGACCUCUUACUAAGAACGCUGGCCAACCCCGAAUUCACGUAGUUGGUCUUUUCUCCUUCAUAGGAAAGAGGCUGUCGACAGACUUCAGCGCGGGCUCUCCACGAUGUCAGGAAACGACGAGGUCACUCCGUUGGAGCAUAAAAUUAGUUAUAAUUCGAUGUCCUAAAUCCGGCUCGAAGGACCAAUUAAAUGUCAGGAGUUUAUUUUGAAUAAGACAUUCUUCAGGCUGAAUAAAGACACUCAGACAGUUAGAAUAUAAUAACAGCGACGUGCACGGGUGAGAACUCUGGCGAGACACACCCUGAGUGCAGGCGACAGUUCUUUUUAUAGGUUACAUCGCGUAUGCAAACACAUCACAUUUUCUUUAAGCAAGUUCCUCUAAACCAACGGUUGUGUGUGGGUGUGUGUGAGUCAGAUGUGUGUAUGGCUGUGCACUUUUGAACUCUUGUGGUUUAGGUGUUGCAUUUGUUUUCUGCUUAGAUAGUUUGUGUUGCAGGGUUCACUGUCAGUUCACAUGGCAGUGGAAAAGUACAACAAGCCUUGUGAAAUGGGGAAGUACAGCAAAUUUUGUGAAAUAUAUAAACACUUUACAAUAUGCUUGAAAAUUAA
ensembl:lncRNA